UACGUAGGUGGCAAGCGUUAUCCGGAUUUACUGGGUGUAAAGGGCGUGUAGGCGGUUUUGUAAGUCAGAUGUGAAAUCUCCGGGCUCAACUCGGAAACUGCAUCUGAAACUAUAAAACUUGAGUACUGGAGAGGAUAGUGGAAUUCCUAGUGUAGCGGUAAGAUGCGUAGAUAUUAGGAGGAACGCCAGUGGCGAAGGCGACUAUCUGGACAGUAACUGACGCUGAGGCGCGAAAGCGUGGGGAGCAAACAGGAUUAGAUACCCCGGUAGUCCCU
rnacentral:rRNA from 1 species